CUCUCGGCGAGCAGCGAAAACAUUCGCUCCCCUUGCCAGCGUUUGGGAUGAGCAACCUCCGGGGUAUCCACAGUGCGAGUCCUGCGAACACAUAACCUCUCGGCUGCAAAAUAGGUGGUGGUCGAGGGAGCCGAACUGACGAAUGUAACACGCACGGGCUCCUGCUGCACGGGAGGGUCCGCGCCCCCACUGAAGUGACACAGCCACCUGCGUGGCUUCCCGGGGGAAAAGCUGAGGGCCUGGGGGCGCUGGGGCAGCAGAUGGGCUCGAGGUGUGUGGCCGGAGGAGCAGGCUGCGGGAGCGCCUGGGAUUCGGGCACCCUGACCGACAGUAACCCCGCCGCCAGCGCCGCCGCCAAAUGUCUCAGAAACAGUUGUUCCAGGUACUAUGCCAGUCCUAAGGAAGAUAAAUGUGUUUAACCUCACAGAACAAAGCGCUCUCCUGCAACCUGAACAUGCUGAAACAAAGCAUUGCUGCUGCAGAGGACAGCACAGGGGGCUGCAAGUAUAUUUCAGUAGAGGAGGAAAAAUAAAGCUAGUAUGAACCUUCAAA